GACGAACGCUGGCGGCGUGCUUAACACAUGCAAGUCGAACGGAAAGGCCUGCUUUCCCUUGUGGAUUGCGGGUACUCGAGUGGCGAACGGGUGAGUAACACGUGAGUGAUCUGCCCCCAACUUGGGUAUAAGCCUGGGAAACUGGGUCUAAUUCCCGAUAGGACUGCAGGGUGGUGCCUGUGGUGGAAAACGAUUUUCUAGUGGUUGGGGAUGAGCUCGCGGCCUAUCAGCUUGUUGGUGGGGUAAUGGCCUACCAAGGCGGCGACGGGUAGCCGGCCUGAGAGGGUGGACGGCCACAUUGGGGCUGAGAUACGGCCCAGACUCCUACGGGAGGCAGCAGUGGGGAAUAUUGCACAAUGGGCGGAAGCCUGAUGCAGCGACGCCGCGUGGGGGAUGACGGCCUUCGGGGUGUAAACUCCUUUCGACCGCGAGGAAGCCACCUGGUUGGAAGGGUGGUGACGGUAGUGGUAGAAGAAGCACCGGCUAACUACGU
rnacentral:rRNA from 1 species